CAGUAGCCGCGGUAAUACGUAGGUGGCGAGCGUUGUCCGGAUUUAUUGGGCGUAAAGGGAGUGUAGGCGGUCUUUUAAGUCUGAUGUGAAAGCCCACGGCUCAACCGUGGAGGGUCAUUGGAAACUGGGAGACUUGAGUGCAGAAGAGGAGAGCGGAAUUCCAUGUGUAGCGGUGAAAUGCGUAGAUAUAUGGAGGAACACCAGUGGCGAAGGCGGCUCUCUGGUCUGUAACUGACGCUGAGGAGCGAAAGCGUGGGGAGCGAGCAGGAUUAGAUACCCCAGUAGUCCCUGUCUUUUAUAU
rnacentral:rRNA from 1 species